UUUAAUUGAAGAGUUUGAUCAUGGCUCAGAUUGAACGCUGGCGGCAGGCCUAACACAUGCAAGUCGAGCGGCAGCACAGAGGAACUUGUUCCUUGGGUGGCGAGCGGCGGACGGGUGAGUAAUGCCUGGGAAAUUGCCCGGUAGAGGGGGAUAACCAUUGGAAACGAUGGCUAAUACCGCAUAACCUCGCAAGAG
rnacentral:rRNA from 1 species